CCCUUAGAUGUUCUGGGCCGCACGCGCGCUACAAUGAUGAAUUCAACGAGUUUAUAACCUUGGUUGAAAAGCCUGGGUAAUCUUUUGAACUUUCGUCGUGAUGGGGCUAGACCCUUGCAAUUAUUGGUCUCCAACGAGGAAUUCCUAGUAAACGCAAGUCAUCAGCUUGCAUUGAUUACGUCCCUGCCCUUUGUACACACCGCCCGUCGCACCUACCGAUUGAAUGCUCAGGUGAGCCAUUCGGACUUUCAUCAUGCUGGUUUCCAGUUUUGAUGAAGGAAAGUCUUGCGAACCUUAUCAUUUAGAGGAAGGAGAAGUCGUAACA
rnacentral:rRNA from 1 species